CAUGCAAGUCGAGCGAAUGGAUUGAGAGCUUGCUCUCAUGAAGUUAGCGGCGGACCGGUGAGUAACACGUGGGUAACCUGCCCAUAAGACUGGGAUAACUCCGGGAAACCGGGGCUAAUACCGGAUAACAUUUUGAACUGCAUGGUUCGAAAUUGAAAGGCGGCUUCGGCUGUCACUUAUGGAUGGACCCGCGUCGCAUUAGCUAGUUGGUGAGGUAACGGCUCACCAAGGCAACGAUGCGUAGCCGACCUGAGAGGGUGAUCGGCCACACUGGGACUGAGACACGGCCCAGACUCCUACGGGAGGCAGCAGUAGGGAAUCUUCCGCAAUGGACGAAAGUCUGACGGAGCAACGCCGCGUGAGUGAUGAAGGCUUUCGGGUCGUAAAACUCUGUUGUUAGGGAAGAACAAGUGCUAGUUGAAUAAGCUGGCACCUUGACGGUACCUAACCAGAAAGCCACGGCUAACUACGUGCCAGCAGCCGCGGUAAUACGUAGGUGGCAAGCGUUAUCCGGAAUUAUUGGGCGUAAAGCGCGCGCAGGUGGUUUCUUAAGUCUGAUGUGAAAGCCCACGGCUCAACCGUGGAGGGUCAUUGGAAACUGGGAGACUUGAGUGCAGAAGAGGAAAGU
rnacentral:rRNA from 1 species